rnacentral:sRNA from 1 species
AUAAUGCAUAAGCUGUAGCCUUAUUGGUAAUUUAUCUAAGGGGGUGUUAUUAGUUAAUGGAUUUUAAUAGAAUUGAAAUCCAACACUAAUCCACUGUUAUUCAACUAAUGAUUCUAAAUCCAGUUUUAAAAUCUAGUGUUAUUGGAACUCAUCUUUGUAAAUCAUGCUUAAUAGAUUUUAAAGUUUAGUGUUAUUCAAUUAAGAUUUUAAAUAUUUCAUUAAAAUCCAGUGUUAUUCAAAACUAAAAAUCUUGUAAAAUCCUUGUAUAUUAAUUCAUUUGAAAUGAAACCUCUUUGGAGUUUCAUGAGUAAAUCAUUAGAAUCGAAAUCCAUGACAUAUUGCAGAGAUUUUGAAAUUCAUACAAACAUAUUUUUAAAAACAAUAUAGAAAACAAAUCUAAAGUUUAAAGAAUUGACUUUAACUCCAUAAUUGAAUAACACCACCUAAAUAUUCAAAUAUAAUCAUUAGCUACUUUAUGGAAUUGAUUUCUUCUUAAAUUUACUAUAGUUAAUCUCCUUAAAUCACGAAACAAU